rnacentral:misc_RNA from 1 species
CCCCCGCCGGCUCCUCUCCCCGCUACCGAUGGGCACAGUCCUUACCUUCAUCCCAGCGCCGUCACUCCGAAUACUUCCGCGUACGGAGGCACGCAACUGUGUCGCUUCUCCUUCUUGAGCCACCACCACCACCACCACCCACACGCUCCGCCGAUCUCUGCCAAAAGCUCAAGUGCCGCUGCACUGGACUUCGGUACUUCUGCUUUUCCGUUUGUGCAUAUUUUUUUUUCCGCCUCCCGUGUAUCGUUGUUUCUCCGCGCCCUCAUUCCCAUCUGCGGCGCUCCACCCUGUCACUCCCGCUCUCUCUAUCGCUUGCAGCCCUGCUGCCCCCCCCCCCUCCCCACCCCUCUUUGCCGCGGCCGAAAGAGUUCUACGUAGAUCCAGCCCCGCGGUCGCCCUCGCUCGUGAACAAGCUCGUACACGUCUGCGCAAGCAUCGGGUAGGAUCGCAGCAACAUCGGUAUCGACUCCCUCAGCGCUCAGCUACGUCAUGUCGCGUUGUGAUGCCGCAGCAGCGGCAGUGUCAGGCGGCAGUCGCACGCUCGCGUCGUUUCCGCGGCCGGCAAACGCGAAGUCUUCUCCAGCGCCGAGACUGCGCAUUCUGUGGGCGCGGGCGCUGCAAGAGGUGGCUAAGGCCAGUUGUUGGACGCCGUGCAGGCCGUCCAUGUAGUUCGAUCGGAAGCUCAGUGGCACGGUAGCACGGGCUCUAAGCAGUCCUGCGCGUCGGUGUCACAGGCACGCUGGACCUCGACGCACACACGUCUCUUGCGCACCCAGUGACGCAAACCCCUUCCACCGGCUACAGCAGCGUGGGAGGCACCGUUGCACCCUUCCGCAGCUCUGCAACCUGCGUACUGAUGAGCCACGUUCUCUACGCUGAGGCCCUGUUCGAUGGAACAGGCGACACCGCUUGGUUGGAGAGAAACGACGCAGGAGGCAACCUCGCGCUCCCGAUCGAGAUGACCCCCCCCGUCUUGCCCAUCCCAGCCGUCACUGUUGGCGCCAAGACGUGCGUGGCGCUGCACACCGCUUUAGCGAGGCGAGGAGGUAAGGAAAUUGCCACGUAUGUGUGCAUGCGCGUCUCUCAUCAACGGCUACCGCAGCAGUUGUGAAGUUGCCGAUGCCGCUGCCCCUCCCGCUCGGCCACCGUCGUUUCUUCGUCGAUGGGCAUCUCUACGGCAAGUGCAGAGAGGCAAAUUUCUUACGUACAAGAGCGCCGUGAAGAAAUAAGCGAGGCGUGUCAGUGCCGACCACCUCUCUCCACACCACCAUCUUGCGCGACCACGCAGACGCGCUCACGGAGGCAUGCGAAGGGUGUGCGAUGGCGCCCGUGUGCUGUCAGGGGUAGUCGCCCGAAAGUCCACAUGCGCAUGCUUUGUUCGUCCCUUGGACAGGCGCCACGAAGCCACCAUCACUCUCCGUCUCCUUUUCCGACUCUCUUCACCUUACCCCUGCGAGCCAACACCGUCCCCUCCCACACUCUUGGCUGCAG